GACGAACGCUGGCGGCGUGCCUAAUACAUGCAAGUCGAGCGGACCAUUCCUUCGGGAAUCGUUAGCGGCGGACGGGUGAGUAACACGUAGGCAACCUGCCUGUAAGACUGGGAUAACAUCUCGAAAGGGAUGCUAAUACCGCAUACGCCCUACGGGGGAAAGCAGGGGAUCACUUGUGACCUUGCGUUAAUAGAUGAGCCUAAGUCGGAUUAGCUAGUUGGUGGGGUAAAGGCCUACCAAGGCGACGAUCUGUAGCGGGUCUGAGAGGAUGAUCCGCCACACUGGGACUGAGACACGGCCCAGACUCCUACGGGAGGCAGCAGUGGGGAAUAUUGGACAAUGGGGGGAACCCGGAUCCAGCCAUGCCGCGUGUGUGAAGAAGGCCUUAUGGUUGUAAAGCACUUUAAGCGAGGAGGAGGCUCUUUUGGUUAAUACCCAAGAUGAGUGGACGUUACUCGCAGAAUAAGCACCGGCUAACUCUGUGCCAGCCGCCGCAGUAACAC
rnacentral:rRNA from 1 species